CCGCGGGAUUAAGUUUGAUCCUGGCUCAGAGCGAACGUUAGCGGCGCGCCUAACACAUGCAAGUCGCACGAGAGGGGGCAACCCUGAAAGUGGCGCACGGGUGCGUAACACGUAGAUAACCUGCCCUUCGACGGGGGAUAACGUUCCGAAAGGGGCGCUAAUACCGCAUAAAGCCAUGGGUGGUUCGCCAUCAGUGGACAAAGGCUGGGACCGGCAACGGCCAGUCAUCGGAGGAGGGGUCUGCGGCCCAUCAGCUAGUUGGUGAGGUAAUGGCUCACCAAGGCAGAGACGGGUAGCUGGUCUGAGAGGAUGAUCAGCCACACUGGUACUGGAACACGGACCAGACUCCUACGGGAGGCAGCAGUGGGGAAUCUUGGUCAAUGGGCGCAAGCCUGAACCAGCGACGCCGCGUGAGUGAUGAAGGCCUUCGGGUUGUAAAGCUCUGUGGGGAGAGACGAAAGAGCAUCUUCUAAUAGGAGUUGUGUUGACGGUAUCUCCUUAGCAAGCACCGGCUAACUCUGUGCCAGCAGCCGCGGUAAGACAGAGGGUGCAAACGUUGCUCGGAAUCACUGGGCGUAAAGGGCGUGUAGGCGGGAAGAUAAGUCGGGCGUGAAAUCCCUGGGCUCAACCCAGGAACUGCACUCGAAACUGUUUUUCUUGAGUAUCGGAGAGGAAAGCGGAAUUCCUGGUGUAGAGGUGAAAUUCGUAGAUAUCAGGAGGAACACCAGCGGCGAAGGCGGCUUUCUGGACGAUAACUGACGCUGAGACGCGAAAGCGUGGGGAGCAAACAGGAUUAGAUACCCUGGUAGUCCACGCUGUAAACGAUGAGUGCUAGGUGUCGUGGGUAUUGACCCCCGCCGUGCCGAAGCUAACGCAUUAAGCACUCCGCCU
rnacentral:rRNA from 1 species